UACAGAGGGGGCAAGCGUUGUUCGGAUUGACUGGGCGUAAAGGGCGUGUAGGCGGUCGGCCAAGUCUGAUGUGAAAGCCCGAGGCUCAGCCUCGGAAGUGCGUCGGAAACUAGUCGGCUGGAGCGCGAUAGAGGAGGGUGGAAUUCCUGGUGUAGCGGUGAAAUGCGUAGAUAUCAGGAGGAACACCGGCGGCGAAGGCGGCCCUCUGGAUCGUUGCUGACGCUGAGACGCGAAAGCGUGGGGAGCAAACAGG
rnacentral:rRNA from 1 species